rnacentral:rRNA from 1 species
UACGAAGGGGGCUAGCGUUGCUCGGAAUCACUGGGCGUAAAGCGCACGUAGGCGGCUUUUUAAGUCAGGGGUGAAAUCCUGGAGCUCAACUCCAGAACUGCCUUUGAUACUGAGAAGCUUGAGUCCGGGAGAGGUGAGUGGUACUGCGAGUGUAGAGGUGAAAUUCGUAGAUAUUCGCAAGAACACCAGUGGCGAAGGCGGCUCACUGGCCCGGUACUGACGCUGAGGUGCGAAAGCGUGGGGAGUAAACAGG